rnacentral:ncRNA from 2 species
UUAUAGAAGCAGGGGAGCUGAGUGAACUCGGCUGAGAGGAUACUGAUUCUUGUAUCGACCCUUUAACCUGAUCUGGGUAAUGCCAGCGGAGGGAUACAGGAAAAGAGUCUAU